AACGCACAUUGCGCCCUCUGGUAUUCCGGAGGGCAUGCCUGUUUGAGUGUCAUUAAUCUCUCACAAAACCUUCUGGUUUCUGUCGAAGUUGGGAGCUGCGACCCCUUGUGGGACGCUCUCCUUAAAUGUAUUGGUGCGGCCUGCCGCCCGGUCACACAACGUUCUAGGUUCGUCCAACUCGUUGCUUUACCGGUGCAAUUUUGGUGCUGCACCUUAAGCCCGCCUCGUGCCUUGUGCUCUUGGCUUAUCUUCAUUUAUUGACCUCAGAUCAGGUAGGAAUACGCGCUGAACUUAA
rnacentral:misc_RNA from 1 species